rnacentral:rRNA from 1 species
GACGAACGCUGGCGGCGUGCUUAACACAUGCAAGUCGAACGGAAAGGCCUUGCUUUUGUGGGGUGCUCGAGUGGCGAACGGGUGAGUAACACGUGAGUAACCUGCCCUUGACUUUGGGAUAACUUCAGGAAACUGGGGCUAAUACCGGAUAGGAGCUCCUGCUGCAUGGUGGGGGUUGGAAAGUUUCGGCGGUUGGGGAUGGACUCGCGGCUUAUCAGCUUGUUGGUGGGGUAGUGGCUUACCAAGGCUUUGACGGGUAGCCGGCCUGAGAGGGUGACCGGCCACAUUGGGACUGAGAUACGGCCCAGACUCCUACGGGAGGCAGCAGUGGGGAAUAUUGCACAAUGGGCGGAAGCCUGAUGCAGCAACGCCGCGUGCGGGAUGACGGCCUUCGGGUUGUAAACCGCCUUCGCCUGUGACGAAGCGUGAGUGACGGUAAUGGGUAAAGAAGCACCGGCUAACUACGUG